rnacentral:rRNA from 1 species
GGAGUUAGCCGGGGUUUCGUUUACCAGGUACUGUCAUUAUCAUCCCUGGCGAAAGAGCUUUACGACCCUAGGGCCUUCAUCACUCACGCGGCAUGGCUAGAUCAGGCUUUCGCCCAUUGUCUAAGAUUCCCCA